UAUACGCAUUGCAGCUCUCUGAUUCAAACAUAAUUUUUAGUUUCAAAUACAAUUCAUUUUGGCCAAAACAUAGAUAGCAUUUAAAAAUAUUAUAUUGACGCCAACUAAUGCACGUCUUCUGUGUACUAGCAGUGAUAACCAACAAAACGAAACUGACUCAAUUUCAGUAACGAGUUAAAAUUGAUUACAUUUAGUAAAACACUAGCAAUCAUCGGCUAAAAACAAGGUGGUAGCGAGAAGAAAAUUAAUCCAAUUGUUGCCGACAGGGAGUAGUUAUUGGUUGCCUCCGUCUUAUUUGGCGUCUUUUAAAUUUACGGCCUCUACUCUUAUUCAUACAUAAAUACCUUCAUGAGAACUUACACACGCUUACAAGAAGUCACAGUGGCCCACUUCUUCUUUGUGCAAAUACAUACAUGGAUGGUGCACAUCGGAUAUUUGUGUUCGUAGGUCAGGGUCAACCGUUGCUUCUAGAUCGAUGUAAACUGCGAUCGAUCAUUUUAUAUAACUUGUGUAUCACCGAAUUUUUUUUCGUACGACUACCGACACGUUCACGGAACGCUCGAUUCGACUCCAGAAUGUCGAUUCGAAUCUAAAUGAAAAUAGUAUACGCAUUGCAGCUCUCUGAUUCGAACAUAAUUUUUAGUUUCAAAUAGAAUUCAUUUUGGCCAAAACAAACGGUAUUCAACUGUGGGGUAUGACCUGUGCAACUAAUAUUGAUAAGAUACAGAGGUUCCACUCCAAAAUUUUAAGAGCACUAACGGGCGCACCAUGGUACGUUCGUAACGUAAAUAUUCAUAAAGACCUUGGUAAUUUACUGGUUAGGCCUGAAAUUGAAAGGAGCAGGACGAAGUACUUCACAAAGCUAAGAACUCAUCCAAAUCCGCUAGCU